GACGAACGCUGGCGGCGUGCUUAACACAUGCAAGUCGAGCGGAAAGGCCACUUCGGUGGUACUCGAGCGGCGAACGGGUGAGUAACACGUGAGUAAUCUGCCCUUGGCUUUGGGAUAGCUACCGGAAACGGUGAUUAAUACCGGAUAUGACCACUUCUCGCAUGGGUUGUGGUGGAAAGUUUUUUCGGCCAGGGAUGUGCUCGCGGCCUAUCAGCUUGAUGGUGAGGUAAUGGCUCACCAUGGCUUCGACGGGUAGCCGGCCUGAGAGGGUGACCGGCCACACUGGGACUGAGACACGGCCCAGACUCCUACGGGAGGCAGCAGUGGGGAAUAUUGGACAAUGGGCGGAAGCCUGAUCCAGCAACGCCGCGUGAGGGAUGACGGCCUUCGGGUUGUAAACCUCUUUCGGUAGGGACGAAGCGCAAGUGACGGUACCUGCUAAAGAAGCACCGGCCAACUACGUGCCAGCAGCCGCGGUAAUAC
rnacentral:rRNA from 1 species